GACCUUCCACGGUCUCUGCGACGCAGCUAACGCAUUAAGUGCCCCGCCUGGGGAGUACGAUCGCAAGAUUAAAACUCAAAGGAAUUGACGGGGCCCCGCACAAGCAGCGGAGCAUGCGGCUUAAUUCGACGCAACGCGAAGAACCUUACCAAGGCUUGACAUAUACAGGAAUAUGGCAGAGAUGUCAUAGCCGCAAGGUCUGUAUACAGGUGGUGCAUGGUUGUCGUCAGCUCGUGUCGUGAGAUGUUGGGUUAAGUCCCGCAACGAGCGCAACCCUCGUUCUGUGUUGCCAGCAUUUAGUUGGGGACUCACAGGAGACUGCCGGGGUUAACUCGGAGGAAGGUGGGGAUGACGUCAAAUCAUCAUGCCCCUUAUGUCUUGGGCUGCACGCAUGCUACAAUGGCUGGUACAAACGGCUGCAAUACCGCAAGGUGGAGCGAAUCCGAGAAAGCCAGUCUCAGUUCGGAUUGGGGUCUGCAACUCGACCCCAUGAAGUCGGAGUUGCUAGUAAUCGUAGAUCAGCAACGCUACGGUGAAUACGUUCCCGGGGCUUGUACACACCGCCCGUCACGUCAC
rnacentral:rRNA from 1 species